UACGGAGGGUGCAAACGUUGCUCGGAAUCACUGGGCGUAAAGCGCACGUAGGCGGCUUUUUAAGUCAGGGGUGAAAUCCUGGAGCUCAACUCCAGAACUGCCUUUGAUACUGAGAGCUUGAGUCCGGGAGAGGUGAGUGGAACUGCGAGUGUAGAGGUGAAAUUCGUAGAUAUUCGCAAGAACACCAGUGGCGAAGGCGGCUCACUGGCCCGGUACUGACGCUGAGGUGCGAAAGCGUGGGGAGCAAACAGG
rnacentral:rRNA from 1 species